AAUGGGCACAGGCGCGGGUAGGGGGGGUUUAUUGUUUUGUGGAAUUUGAAUUUUUAUGUUUUUUUUUAUUUUUUUAGUAUGUUAUAAUAUAUAUAUAUAUACAACCUUUUAACAAUCAACUCGGAGAUGGUUCGGACGAGGGGAAUCUGACUAUUUAAUUAAAACAAAGAAUUGUGAUGGUCCCUCUCGAUCUUGAUGCAAUGUGAUUUCUGCCCAGUGCUUUGAAUGUUAAAGUGAAUAAAUUCAACCAAGCACGGGUAAACGGCGAGAGUAACUAUGACUCUCUUAAGAUAGCCAAACUCCUCGCCAUCUAAUUAGUGAUGCACAUGAAUGGAUUAACUAGAUUCCCACUAUCCCUAUCUACUAUCUAGCGAAACCACAACCAAGGGAAUGGGCUUGGCAUAAUCAACAGGGAAACAAGACCUUGUUGAGA
rnacentral:ncRNA from 1 species